CCUGUGUGUCUGUGUGUAUAUGUAUGUGUGUAUGUGUGUGUGGGUGUGGGUAUUGUGUGUGAGUGUUUUCUUCCAAGUGUUACCUUACAUGCCAAGGUGUGUGUGCUCCCGGGCUCGUGCAGGUGUACCUGCACUCAACAGAGAGCGGACUGUGUACAGCCUCCCACCUACAGGUCUGUUUGGGCGACCCCUCCACGUCAUCUAUAGAGGCCGGUCCUCUGGCCUCAAUGACGGGGUAUCCAUGACAACCGGACCCAACAGGAAGAAGAGGCAGCAGAUGUAGAGCAGAGGAACUUGACCCGCCUGUCAGACCGUACAAAGAUGGACAUGCUCUGAAAGGAAAUUUGUUCUUCUCCCUUCAUCUUCUUCUUUAUCCCCUCACUGAUUUGACGGAGGCUGUGAACGCAGAAAACAAGAGUCAAGAACAGGAAGGUCAGUUGGAGGUUGACGGAGUCGUAUUGUGAUAUCGGUCGCGUGAUCGGAGACAGAAUCCCUGCAGGCCGGUAUAUCACUCAGGAGUUUGGAUACGGAAAAACACAUUUCUGGACGAUCCCUAUUCCUCUUCCCACACAUCCACAGGUGGUGUCGCUGAAUCUUGUAUUGGUAAUCCUAUUCGGCAUUAAGGAUGUGGGAAAAGUUUUACGAAGCAUGACGCCAGCCCACCUUUUAUUUGAUUUCUGCACCAGCCGGUGAACAGGUGUUUGUGGUUUGGUGGGAUUCACCUGGGCAGUCCACGGGCCCUCGUUAAGCAUGAGUUAACCAAUUAGCCCACACUGGCUGACCGUCAUACAUCACCCCAGGGCUGAGAGAGAGAGAGAGAGAGAGAGAGAGAGAGAGAGAGAGAGAGAGAGAGAGAGAGAGAGAGAGAGAGAGAGACGGAGAGAGACAGAGAGACGGAGAUUGAGAGAGAGUGAGAGAAAGAAAGAGAGACAGAGGAAGAGAGAGAGUUAGAGAAAGAAAGAGAGACAGAGGAAGAGAGAGAG
ensembl:lncRNA